rnacentral:rRNA from 1 species
UACGGGGGGAGCAAGCGUUGUUCGGAUUUACUGGGCGUAAAGGGCGCGUAGGCGGCCACGACAAGUCACUUGUGAAAUCUCCGGGCUUAACUCGGAACGGUCAAGUGAUACUGUCGGGCUAGAGUGCGGAAGGGGCAACUGGAAUUCUCGGUGUAGCGGUGAAAUGCGUAGAUAUGCGGAGGAACACCGAUGGCGAAGGCAAUCCCCUGGGCCUGCACUGACGCUCAUGCACGAAAGCGUGGGGAGCAAACAGG